rnacentral:tmRNA from 1 species
GGGGGCGACUUGGAUUCGACCGGAUGAUUGGAAGCGUAUGGUUGCGUGUCGUGGUUGAUCAGUUGGCCACGUAAAAAGCUGAUCAAACUUUUAAUUGCAGAUGAAAAUCUCGCACUGGCUGCCUAAUUACAGGCUGCCCGGACUGAUGGGGGCUGCCAGAGUCGCCUGAAAGUCCGUCACAAUUCUGGAUCGCCCGCCGUCCUACUCGAGACGCGGCGGGUUAAACAAGAUUCGAGUUAGCAAGCCGCGUAGUCUGUCGAGCAGCGCCGCGGUAAGCGAAACGAGUUUCGGCUCAUAACCGCCCGACUACACACGUAGACGCCGUCGUGGACGCAUCGCGGGACGAGGGUUCAAUUCCCUCCGCCUCCA